rnacentral:miRNA from 1 species
CAUUCAACUUGGAUGGUUAUGCCGUUGACUGUCUUCGGCAUAACCAUUCAACUUGGAUGGUUAUGCCGUUGACUGUCUUCGGCAUAACCGUUCAA